CCAGGUUAUCAAAAUGCUAAUUACCAUCAUCAUGGCGUUCCUGCUGUGCUGGGGCCCGAAGUUAAUGCUUUCUGUUCUAAUUAAACUCCGAUACAGUUGGCUAUUUGAGCGUCCUGCAUUCUUCAUUAAGAUAGUCAUUAACGUUCUACCAUUUGUCCACUCCUGCAUCAACCCGGUCAUCUACGGCUUCAUGUCCAGGAGUUUCCGCACUCGUAUGAAAUGCGCCUGCCGCGCAUUCGUCUACCGCAAGACUCACCCAAGCGCGGUGCUGGGCAAGCGCCUUCUUUCCGGCUCCGACCUGGAGCUGGACACCCGAUCCACCAACGGGACCGUGCAUACUAAGAUCAGCCUCCGCCAGGGAAGCAGCAGCCACUCAGACACCUGACGCCGGCAGAGCUGUUUCAGUUGGUUCUUCUGCUACUGCUGCUGUUGUUGCUUCGGGUGCGGCCUUUUCUCCAGGGACGGCGAUGAAGUGGGCUGCAGACACGCGCAUGUCGCUCCGCGGGCGGGGAGCGGGAUCCGGAGAAGCUGCCAAGGUGUAAAGGCGGAUCUCGAACAAGAGAUGUGUGCCUACGGCGAACACGAAGGAAAAGAGGGGGACUGCGGGGAUGUUGUCGUGGUUCGAGAUGUUGAACGCAAUCGCCAUGUGAAAUGGCAAAGCGAUUGGUCCUGCUGAGGGGCAGAGCUAGCACACACAUAUUCCAAUAAAUGAAAUUAGUUUCGUAGCUAAAGUGCCAAAUGAGUGUGAUCAUCACAUCUCUGACAUUGAACAGCAGCUGUGAAUGUGCAUUUUAUUUUAAGCAUCAACAACCACUGAAACAGCUAACGUGUUGUCACUCUAGUGUAUUGCAUUCGUUCGGAAGGACUGAGUUGAUCCAGCGGCAAGCGAACCAAGGGAGACAAUGAAUUUUUUAUUUUGUCGUUGGAGCAGCUGAAAGAGUUAUUCCCCAUGUGAAUGAAAAAAUCGAGGUUUUUGUUUUAAAAAUGGGAAUACAUAAUAAUAAUUGAAGGAAAAUAAAUUCAUGUCUUUAUAUUUUAUUGUUGUGAUAUUGACAGAUGUAUAAAUAACUAUGUGUUUUUUUCAAUACAAUAAUUUUUUUUUGCAGUACUCAUGAUGUACUGUGCAGACUAUGUACAUAUACUGUACAUUUUAGAAUUUACAUUAGUGUUUCUCAUUACUAGAGAAUGAGGAUAAUGAUGAAAUCAUCUUAAAAUCAUGAUCUUUCCUUCACCAUCUUUUCUCGGUGUUCUCUUGUCUGGGUAACGUUAAUGUUGAAAUCAACCUAAGGUCAAAUGUGAUUGGUCUUUUAGUGAUAUUUUUGUUCAACUACACGGGUUUGUUUCUGAUGGGAAUAUUUAAAAUCAUUACAUAUACAUCCAUGAAGUACUUUAGUGUGAUAUGAUGUUUGAGCUUUUGUCUGACACUUUCUUGGAACCUCACUUUAAAGACAAUAGUUUAAUACGUACCGGAGUUGACGCUACAAAAGGUCUUUGUACUUGCGACGAUAUCUGUUUUAGUGCCAGGUGACAAGAUGUCCUCGUCGACGUUACGAUGACAUUGUGCUGAUCAGACAAUGCAUUUCUGUUAUAUUUCCGUAAAACCCUUAAAGAUGACAAGAUUAGAAUACUUAAACAACAUCGUGAUGCCGGAAAUACUAUAUUAAAGUUUAGACUCAAGACUGAAAUAGUCUUUACAUAAAUACAAAGCUUUUACUAUGGAACUUGGAAAUUGGAAUCAUCGUAAUAAUACACACACUGUAGUUCCUAGAUCUUGUAGUCUUAUUUAUUUGAGAAAAUAUUAAGCCAGUGAAGGGAAAUCUUUUUCAGGAGAGGGACAAAAACGUAAAAGAAAAAAAUUGGCUGGCCCCAUCCCCGAAAUUCGGAGGAAAUUGAAUUAAAUUAUGUCAAAUAUUCAAUAAAUGCCACGUUUGAAACCGCGACGUUUUAUAAUUUAGCAUUAUUUAGUUAAAAUUGAGACGCAGUUAUUCUUAACUCUUUCUCUCCUAAUUGACGAUAUCAUCGUUAAUUUGACCUCAUUAUAUAAAAUUAAUGUUUAACUAUAUAAACUUUAUUUUGUGUUAUAUAUAAAAAUAGCAUGCAUUUCCUUUUAAUGCUAUAUCAAAUACAACAUUUUCUGAUAACAAACGAUAAAGCUAUUGAAGCUUAAUCAUAACUGGGGAGUGAAAUAGUAAUUAGCACAAUGAAGAAUUCAGUCGAAACGUUGAAAAAAUAAUUACGGAGAGAAAGAGUUAAAAGAUGAAUCAAGUGUUUAUUUGUGAACUUUUUUUCUGGCAGCAUUUUUAAAGUUUUAUUAUCGAAAAUAGCUACUCACUAACAUGUAAAGUAAAGAUUCUCAUAGCAUGAGUUACUGAAUUAGGUAAACUGAAGUUCGACAAGCCCCUGAAGAACUCUUAUUUUGGAAUAUCUAGAAUUAAUUGUUUGAGACGAAUAUUAGAAAUUAAGAAUGAAGCUCAAUCAAUUCACCGAAUUCUACUGCAAUUCUUUUUUCACCACACAACCUCGUUAAAUGGUAUAUUGAAAAUAUCUCGACUUGUCAAUUAUUUGCUCCACAAUAGAGGGUCCCCACAAACUGGAAAGAAUGUCAAAUUUCAGAAUUAUUGUAUUAGUCCAACAUAGUUUAAAGGCAGACCUGGGCCUACAUGGAUAGACGAUAUAUAGGCCUUAAUCUAAGCACCAUCGAAAAUUACGGUAGUGCAAACAGUGCGUCCACCCAGGAUAUCAUUCUAAAGGGAGAGCCUCUACAAACUCAAUGUAUAUAUAUUUAUUUUUAUUUAUGAACAUUAAAUAUAACAAAAUUAAGAAAACAAGAUUAAAUUUACAGAUCCUAUAUGUGUCUUUCUUUAUUAUUUUUUUUUAAUUUGAUAUCCGUAUGUAAUAUCUAAAACAUUUUUACAAAAGUAUUCGAAAUAUUUAGAGUCUACACAAAAAUACUUUCCAGGGGUCUCCACUUACCUAAAUCCGGCCCUGAUAAUAGCUUUUAUAUUUUUUUAUGUGAGAAGCUACCAAGAGCGAGCCGUGGAAUGAAGUUUUGUAGCUCUCUAAUAGUUUAUGUAAAAAUCUGGCCAUGAUAUUUUCUAUGUAUUCAAUUGUUAUUCAGUCAAUUUAUUAAAUAUCUUGUUUCUUAUGGGCUACUAUUAUUGACAUUGUUUUAAAUAUCUCCCUAUAUUCUUCAAAUAAGAAAUGCUGGGUAGUGAUUCAAAAUGGCGUCGAUUAAAGGAUGAGAGUGGAGGUGUGAUAGAACCUGAAAUUUUCUUUUAAGAAUUUACUUUAGCAUGGUAGUAGUAGUAGUAGUAAGUACCAAAAAGGUCGUCUGCGUGUUAAACAGUAACAAGUAAAAUAAAUAACAGAAAAUACUUUAAAAAAAAAUGGUUAUAUAAUGAGAAAAGCUUUACAUUUUCAGCCAUUUCUCUCAAUACUUUAAGAUGUAUUUUCCUUUUUUGAUAUCAAACAAAAUUGAUUAAUUACAACUAAUUAAUAAAUAAAUUAUUUUUUUUAUUGGUUGGUAUUUUGUUAGGAACAAGUAAUACUUACGUAAUGUUUCAACUUGAUACGACAAUGGGAGAUGGGAGAAAAUAGCGUGUUUUCGAAAUUCCUACCAGACAGAGUGAGUGUAAGCAUUGUGGAAAUUAAGGUUUAAUUGGAAACCAAUUAUUUUGGGUUUGGGGUGACAUCAUUAGCAAACUGCACCUGUUGACACCAAUGUAUAGACACCUCUGUUGAUUUCAGCUGAGUGAAUAAUAUUUAUCUUUUUUUAAAAAUUAUGUUCAAAGCAAAAGAUCUAGAUAUGUUCUGUAUUGUUAUUACCACAGAAGAAAGACGAGGUAAUUAAACAUGUCUUAGUUUGAAUAAUUUGUUGAACACAGAUGUGAUACAUUCUAAUGUUUUCAAGUAAUUGUUUACGUGUGUUGUAAAUAAAUCAUGUGUUCAGCGCACUACUGUCUCAUUAUGUAUUUGUUAAAAUUGGCGUCAGUAGCCUCAACUAAUCUGCUGCCAACUAGAACUUCAGCUGUUUUGAAUGAAAAGAGAAAAACAUUGUCAAACAAAACAAGAAAAUUCACACAUUUGACACCUGAACUUAUUCUCAUUACUGGCAAAAUAAAAUGAACUUCAAAAAAAA
rnacentral:sRNA from 1 species